AGUGUGCAGGCUGUUAUGUAACAGUGUGCCAUACAUUGAAAAUAUUGCAAGCUAAGAAGCAACAACAAACACUAGGAACAACACUAUACUUUGAAAAAGUUGCCAAUGGUUAACGUCAACUAUCUAAAUUUCCACUAAGAGAUCUAUAUCAUGAACUCAGUCAUAUCAGCGUGCAACUAAGUGCUGCUUCAUUGACAUUAUAUCACCAAUAUUUACAUUUGCAGCAACUAGCAAAUAAAACCCUUAGUCAUUGGCAUUUUAAAAGUUUUUUUAACUGCCUAAAGACAUAAAACUAACUCUAAAGUCCACUUGUGAACAUAACUUAGAAAACUGCAGAAAG
rnacentral:misc_RNA from 1 species